rnacentral:rRNA from 1 species
AAUGAACGCUGGCGGCGCGCCUAAUACAUGCAAGUCGAGCGAGAAGACGUAGCAAUACGUUUGUAAAGCGGCGAACGGGUGAGGAAUACAUGGGUAACCUACCCUCGAGUGGGGAAUAACUAGCCGAAAGGUUAGCUAAUACCGCGUACGCUCCUUGGACUUCGGUUCAGGGAGGAAAGCGAUACCGUGGGUAUCGCGCUCUUGGAUGGGCUCAUGUCCUAUCAGCUUGUUGGUGAGGAACGGCUCACCAAGGCUUCGACGGGUAGCUGGUCUGAGAGGACGAUCAGCCACACUGGCACUGCGACACGGGCCAGACUCCUACGGGAGCAGCAGUAAGGAAUAUUGCGCAAUGGGCGAAAGCCUGACGCAGCGACGCCGCGUGGGGGAUGAAGGUCUUCGG